GUAGCUCUGUAACAACACACAGCAAUGCAACACAAAGUAAGGAACAAUCUUGAACUCAUGCAAUUUCCAUGCAUAGGUAGCAUUCUGCACUGCAGGGAACAGCAAACCACACGCACACACACUCCAGCGACCAGUAAACCACACAGGAAGAGGCUAGGAGCUAUGUCAGUGUCAUGUGACAGUUAAUUUGUCAUAAAACUCAUCCUGGCAAUAGGAACAAUAAUGUUGAAUCUUACUUUGUAUCUGGAAAUAUAAAAAGUUAAACUGGAGUUAAGUCUGUGGAUGGAUGAAGAAUUUAAUAGUAAAAAUUGUUUGAUGUGAUAGACUGACAAUACCCUGGACAAAUCUUCUGGAAUUAAGAUAAACUUUACUGAAUGACGUUUAACCUUAUGCAUUAGGUUUAAUAGCUUUGGGGUCUAUUGUAUUAAAAAUGCAGUGACGGUG